UACGUAGGGGGCGAGCGUUGUCCGGAAUUACUGGGCGUAAAGGGUGCGUAGGCGGUUGAUUAAGUUGGAUGUGAAAUACCCGGGCUUAACUUGGGGGGUGCAUCCAAUACUGGUUAACUAGAGUGCAGGAGAGGAAAGCGGAUUCCUAGUGUAGCGGUGAAAUGCGUAGAUAUUAGGAGGAACACCAGUGGCGAAGGCGGCUUUCUGGACUGUAACUGACGCUGAGGCACGAAAGUGUGGGGAGCAAACA
rnacentral:rRNA from 1 species